UUAUUCCUUGCUGCUCUUAUGUUUUCUCCUCAACAUUUUGCAAUCUCCCUCCAAUUACUAUCCCAGAACAAAAAUUUACCAAUUUGACUCCAUUCGUAAGGGGUUUACCACAUGGAUUACCACCUGUAUUACCACAUAUAAGACAACAUUCCCCUCCACCUAGACAUUUCUGAAACAUCAAUGCGACAAGGCAUACCAAUAUCAACUAAGCAAUUGUUUUUGCUUGAUUUGGUUAAGGUUUUUCUGCUGUGAUUCUAUUGUAUUAAGGGUUGUUUGGGUGGUUUUGUGUUGUGGCUUUUUGGCCUUUGGUUUAGUUGUCUGUCUUUAUGUAUCUGUUAUCUUGUGUCUUUCCUCUAGCCUCUUCACUUCUU
rnacentral:lncRNA from 1 species